rnacentral:rRNA from 1 species
UACGUAGGGGGCAAGCGUUGUCCGGAAUCAUUGGGCGUAAAGAGCGUGUAGGCGGUUCGGUAAGUCUGCUGUGAAAGUCCAAGGCUCAACCUUGGGAUGCCGGUGGAUACUGUCGAACUCGAGUCCGGAAGAGGAGUGUGGAAUUCCUGGUGUAGCGGUGAAAUGCGCAGAUAUCAGGAGGAACACCGAUGGCGAAGGCAGCACUCUGGGACGUGACUGACGCUGAGACGCGAAAGCGUGGGGAGCAAACAGG